ACUCAAAUGAAUAGACGGGGACCCGCACAACCGGUGGAGCGUGUGGUUCAAUUCGAGACAAAGCGAAGGACCUUACCAAGUUUUGACAUAUUACCGUACAUUUCCCUGGAAACAGGGAGAAAUCCGCAAGGAUGGUAGUACAGCAGCUGCAUGGCUGUCGUCAGCUCGUGCCGUGGGGUGUUCCCUUAAGUGGGAGAACGAGCGCAACCCGUAUCCAAUGUUACAAGUGUCAUUGGAGACUGCCCUGAUUAUUCUCAGGGAGGAAGGAACGGACGACGUCAAGUCAGCACGGCGCUUAUAACUUGGGAUACACACACCCUACAAUGGCGAAAAACAAUGAGAAGCUAGGCCGUAAGGUCAUGCAAAUCUCCAGUAAAUUUCGCCUCAGUUCAGAUUGAGGUCUGCAACCCGACCUCAUGAAGUCGGAAUCGGUAGUAAUCGCAGAUCAGCAGGCUGCGGUGAAUACGUUCUCGGGUCUUGUACACACCGCCCGU
rnacentral:rRNA from 1 species